GUGUAUGUCUUCCCUAGCAGGCAGAGAAACAAACAGCACAAACUAAGCUUGACCUUGUUGGAAAUACAGUUUAUCCACAGAGUGAAUGUUGGCUAAAAUUUAAUCUUAUGACAUCAGGAAUGUUCAAAGUUUACACAGGAGGGCCACUGUCAUAAGGACGCCUGGAAGAGUGAAGAAAGGCCUGAUUGAUCACAAGGUCCUAUCAAAUGUCAAAGCUGGCCCUGGCUGACCUCCCAUCUAUUCAGAGCUGCUUUGAUUUAAUCUCCAAACUGGCUGCUUCUCCAGGCUGUGAGUUCUAUCUGCAACCCAUGUGUCAGCAUUGAGAUAUGACCUGCUUCACGCUCCAUUCAUCUCAUUUGAAGGACGGAAAUUAAACUCGAGGGUCGAAGAGGGGAACUGCUCAAAAUACACACACACAUUAACUGAAGCCUUUUGUAGAAGAGAAUUGAAAAUUUCAAGAAGGCAAAGGUGAUGGAAGUGUCUUCAUGAGACCCUUGGGUAACAUAAAUUGGCAAAGAAUUGGAUGAUCUGGGUUCUAAGAUCUGGCCUUAAAACUAGCC
ensembl:lncRNA novel transcript